rnacentral:rRNA from 1 species
CAUGCAAGUCGAACAGCAGCACGGGUGCUUGCACCUGGUGGCGAGUGGCGAACGGGUGAGUAAUACAUCGGAACAUGUCCUGUAGUGGGGGAUAGCCCGGCGAAAGCCGGAUUAAUACCGCAUACGAUCUACGGAUGAAAGCGGGGGACCUUCGGGCCUCGCGCUAUAGGGUUGGCCGAUGGCUGAUUAGCUAGUUGGUGGGGUAAAGGCCUACCAAGGCGACAAUCAUUGGCUGGUCUGAGAGGACGACCAGCCACACUGCUGACUGAGACACGGCCCAGACUCCUACUGGAGGCAG